rnacentral:rRNA from 1 species
UACGGAGGGUGCAAGCGUUGCUCGGAAUUAUUGGGCGUAAAGGGCAGGUAGGUGGUCUCAUUUGUCUGGGGUGAAAGCCUUGAGCUUAACUCAAGAAGUGCCCCAGAAACGGUGAGACUGGAGUCCUGGAGAGGGUCGUGGAAUUCCCGGUGUAGCGGUGAAAUGCGUAGAGAUCGGGAGGAACACCAGAGGCGAAGGCGGCGACCUGGACAGGUACUGACACUCAACUGCGAAAGCGUGGGGAGCAAACAGG